rnacentral:rRNA from 1 species
ACGGGUAGCCGGCCUGAGAGGGCGACCGGCCACACUGGGACUGAGACACGUGCCCAGACUCCUACGGGAGGCAGCAGUGGGGAAUAUUGCACAAUGGGCGGAAGCCUGAUGCAGCGACGCCGCGUGAGGGAUGACGGCCUUCGGGUUGUAAACCUCUUUCAGCAGGGACGAAGCGCAAGUGACGGUACCUGCAGAAGAAGCGCCGGCCAACUACGUGCCAGCAGCCGCGGUAAGACGUAGGGCGCGAGCGUUGUCCGGAUUUAUUGGGCGUAAAGAGCUCGUAGGCGGCUUGUCGCGUCGACUGUGAAAACCCACAGCUCAACUGUGGGCUUGCAGUCGAUACGGGCAGGCUAGAGUUCGGUAGGGGAGACUGGAAUUCCUGGUGUAGCGGUGAAAUGCGCAGAUAUCAGGAGGAACACCGGUGGCGAAGGCGGGUCUCUGGGCCGAUACUGACGCUGAGGAGCGAAAGCGUGGGGAGCGAACAGGAUUAGAUACCCUGGUAGUCCACGCUGUAAACGUUGGGCGCUAGGUGUGGGGGACCUCUCCGGUUCUCUGUGCCGCAGCUAACGCAUUAAGCGCCCCGCCUGGGGGAGUACGGA